GGGCCUUUAGCUCAGUUGGUCAGAGCUGCCGGCUCAUAACCGGCUGGUCCGGGGUUCGAAUCCCUGAAGGCCCACCA
rnacentral:tRNA from 3 species